UCUAGUGGCGCACGGGUGAGUAACACGUGGGAACCUGCCUUUAGGUACGGAAUAACGUCUGGAAACGGACGCUAAUACCGUAUAUCUCCUCCGGGAGAAAGGUCCGCCGCCUAAAGAGGGGCCCGCGUCAGAUUAGCUUGUUGGUGGGGUAAUGGCCUACCAAGGCUACGAUCUGUAGUUGUCUGAGAGGAUGAUCAGCCACACUGGGACUGAGACACGGCCCAGACUCCUACGGGAGGCAGCAGUGGGGAAUAUUGGACAAUGGGGGCAACCCUGAUCCAGCAAUGCCGCGUGUGUGAUGAAGGCCCUAGGGUUGUAAAGCACUUUCAACGGUGACGAUGAUGACGGUAACCGUAGAAGAAGCCCCGGCUAACUUCGUGCCAGCAGCCGCGGUAAUACGAAGGGGGCGAGCGUUGUUCGGAAUAACUGGGCGUAAAGGGCGCGUAGGCGGUCUAUCUAGUUGGGCGUGAAAGCCCUGGGCUCAACCCAGGAAUUGCGUCCAAUACUAAUAGACUAGAGACCGAGAGAGGAUAGUGGAAUUUCCAGUGUAGAGGUGAAAUUCGUAGAUAUUGGAGAGAACACCAGUGGCGAAAGCGACUAUCUGGCUCGGUUCUGACGCU
rnacentral:rRNA from 1 species